UACGAAGGGGGCUAGCGUUGCUCGGAAUCACUGGGCGUAAAGCGCGCGUAGGCGGAUCGUUAAGUCGGGGGUGAAAUCCUGGGGCUCAACUCCAGAACUGCCUUUGAUACUGGCGAUCUUGAGUCCGGGAGAGGUGAGUGGAACUCCGAGUGUAGAGGUGAAAUUCGUAGAUAUUCGGAAGAACACCAGUGGCGAAGGCGGCUCACUGGCCCGGUACUGACGCUGAGGUGCGAAAGCGUGGGGAGCAAACAGG
rnacentral:rRNA from 1 species